rnacentral:lncRNA from 1 species
GAAAAUCUAAACUUGUUAUAGUCCUCGGUGGCGUGUCUUCUUCUUCUUUCUCUUUCUCUUUUUAAAGGCUAAGAGGGUCCAAGUGUUUCCUUGCGAAUCUAGGGUUUUUCGCAUUGAUUUCAGCUUUCUUUUUGCUAUCCAAAAUUAUCUCUUCCUUAAUUCUUGAUUUUCUACUUCUAGAUGCAACGGGAUCUCUCUUUUAAGUUUAAAAACACGUCGGGUUUCAAAUUUGCUACUGUCCGAGUAUAAGCUUUAGUCGAGAUUUACCCAUGUGUGACUUGAUACUUCCUAUGGCUACCAGGAUGUUAGUUUUGCCUAAGGAUUACAUGUGCAUCCACUAGUGCUUCUACUACCACGAGAAUACAAGCCUUGCUCGAGGCUUAUAGUCAGAUACCUGCUACCUUUGCUAGGGUAUAAGCCUUGCCUGAGGCUUAUACCAAAAUUGAUGUCAGUUUCUGUACAAAAUCUACUUCUGUGGGACUUCUUUUCUAA